rnacentral:miRNA from 1 species
CCAAGCUGGCUGGCUUCCUGGACCUCACAGAGCAGGAGUUCCGGAUCCAGCUUCUUGUCU